UUACAUAAGCAAAAAUAAUGAAAGUUAUUGACGCAAAGCCACGGGUCUAAGUUAAAUUAGUGAUAAUAUGAUCGCCAAGUUGCA
rnacentral:ncRNA from 1 species